CAACAGGUGAGUUGGAGCCCAUCGCAGACGACUCGUGCCUGCAGUUCUCCUCCUCCCCUCAGCCAGCCGGGAGCGCGUGCUGGUACUGUACAUCCCUAUGUCCUCACUCACACAUGCAGCAACAAACAGAGCUCGAGAGGCUGCACUCACUGCUGCACGAGACUACACUGCAGCAUACACGGCUCGUGCCUCAAAACGUAACGGUCAGAAAAGAACGACAGAUAUAAAGAGAGACGGAGUGAACGGGCAGUCCGGCAGCAAACAAACAUCCUUUAGGUGAAGGUGGCCAACAGUCCUGCCUUUUCUUCAUCCAUCCUCUCUCUCUCUCUCCCUCUCCUGUUCCUCCUCCUCUCUCUCCCUCUUCUCUCUCUCUCUCUCCUGUCCUUCCUCCCUCUUCCCCCUCGCUCUCCCUCUGUCUCUGUGAUGCCGGGCUGUGGGUGAGUGUAUGCCUGUGACCAGACUGAAGCUGGGGAAGCUAAAGGUGGUGCGGCGGCAGCUGCUGCAAAGGUAUGAACACCAGCCGUUUGUCUCCUGCCUGGCCGGCCUCUAUGGUUGCCAAUGGAGAAGAUACCAAAGAGCCCGCGCACAGCCAGGAGAGUGCUGCUGCAGCAAGGUGGAGUGUGGCAGUUUUGGCCUCCUGAUCCUCACCUUCUUCCUGAGUUUUUUAUUCCUCUAUUUCUGGAGUGAAGCUCAGAACGACUACAUCGACUUUGACUGGUUUAACUUUGGGACUCUGGGUUUCUGGUUUCCGUGGUCUCUGGUGCUGCUGGUCGUUGCUGCUGCUCUCUUUACUUACAUCGCCCUACUGUUGGUGCUGGCAGUGUGUCUGCUCUCUGAGGGUCAGAGGCUGUACCUCCACUGGAGCCACAAGACUGGCAUCGUGGUGGCAUUGGUGUUCUCCGUCACAGCCACCGCCAUCUUGUCCGACCUCUGGAGCAAAGAAUGGAAGACUCUCCUUCUCUCCCUGCAGGUGACAGCACCUUUCCUCCACGUGGCUGCAGUCUCACUAAUGGCGAUUCUCUCCUGGCCAAUAGCUUUGCACUUCUUUCGCAUGAACAAGAAAGUGCGUCAAGUGGCUGUCCUGGGUCUCUACCUUUCUGUGCUGUUCUCUCUCUACCUGGUCCCUCUGGGAAUGUACUCACCCUGCAUUAAAGAGGCAGGAACGCUGGGACCCGCCCCAACACUCAUCGGACACAGAGGAGCUCCAAUGCUUGCUCCAGAGAAUACUGUGAUGUCGUUUGAAAGGGCCGUGGAAGCUGGAGGAGCAGGACUUGAGACUGACGUCACCAUCAGUUAUGAUGGUGUUCCCUUCCUGAUGCACGACUCCACUCUGAAGAGAACCACCAAUGUCGCUGAGAUUUUCCCAAAUCGAACACACCUCGAUGCCUCCAUGUUCACCUGGGCUGAGCUACAGCAGCUGAAUGCUGGCGACUGGUUCUUAUCGAGGGAUCCGUUCGGGACUGUGUCGUCCCUGUCUGAGACGGACUGCUCCCAGGCCCAGAACCAGUCUGUUCCCUCACUGGCCCAGUUUCUAGAGGUAGCGGCUGGUAGCGGCAGACUAGUGCUGUUUAAUCUGCGCAGGCCACCGUACGGACAUCCCUACAGUCAGUCAUACAUCAACACCACCCUGCAGGUGGUGCAGGCCCACAUUAACUCCUCACAGGUGCUGUGGCUGCCCUCUGAGGACAGGGAGAUGGUGCAUGCUGUGGAUCCAGAGCUGCAGCAGACCUCUGGAGAAAAGGCUUCUAUUCAGGAACUGACAGACGGUCACAUCAGCAGACUGAACCUGCACUACAGCACCAUGUCACAACAACAGUUCAGUAAGUACCAAUCAGUGAACAUCAGCACUAACCUGUAUGUGAUCAGCCAGCCGUGGCUCUACACUUUGGCCUGGUGUGCCGGAGCACAGUCUGUAACCACCAACUCCAUCCACAUCCUGUCCAACAUCAACAAGCCGCUCUUCCUUAUGACUCAAGAGGAAUAUAGUUUGAUGUGGAUUCUGACUGAUGCUGUGUCGGCCUUCCUCAUCAUUGCAGUUUUCAUAUUCCAUUGGUGGAGAGAGAGAGGCCUGCCCUUCUGGUCCGGCAGCCGCCAGACUCACGAGAAUGGACCGUACAGCAAGUUCAGGACAGACUCUUCAGAGGUCAUCUGUUUUCGAUGGAGCCCCCUCCACUCUGACCCCCCUGAUGGAGCCCUCGUCUCCCUUCCCUUGGUCUUCAACCCAUGACACCCUGCAUGUCAGCCCUGCAUGUCAGCCCUUCGGGAACCUUGUAUGAACCUUUAGCUGAGUGACGUGUGGUCCAUCUCCAGCGUCAAUGUCCGGCCUGACCUACGGAGCACUCCGGGUUCACCCAGUGCCCCUCACCUGCCCACCAUCACAGAGGAGUGACUGGGGGAGAGAUAGAGAGAGGCAAGAGAGAAAGGUACAGCUAGAGAGAGAUGGAAAAAAUGAGAGAGAUAGUGCUGAAAACGUAGUUUCCAAUCUUAAGUAUUUGUCGAUAACUUAAAUAUUCAUGAUUAAAUAAGAAACCGUCAAAUGGGAUUAAAUACAUUCUUGAAGUGCUGGUAACAUACUGUAGGCAAACGGCUCUAUACCAUGUGCCAUACUAUAAAUGCAGAAAGCACUCCUGAAAGCACCAAAGUGUGUGUUCAUGUAGGAACUCGCCACACAGUAAGAAGCUGAUGGAGAAAUUGUGUUUAAAUAAAAUAAAAGAAGCGACUUACAAUAAGUGCAUUCAAACAUAUGGGUACAUAUCUAACAAGAGUUAGAAGAAUCAUUAAAGUACAUCAUCCUCAUCAAAGUUGAGAGGAAAAAGGUUUUCUUUUGGAAAUAUGACAAAAACAGGACAAAGUGACCAAGAACAGAACAAAGAAACAUGUUCAGGUAAAGUAAGAGACAGCACUUCCUCUCUCAUGCUCUCUGUCUGCGGGCCGCUAAACCAAACCUCAUUCACUGAUCUGCCAUCAGGGACGCAGCAGAGACUCUGGACACGAGCCCGGAGCACCGGUGUCCGUUCUAUAAUCUCAUAGAUGCCAUUAAAAAGCCCGGGCAGUGAGGACCGUUGAACACGAGCCCAGAGGCUGCCAUGCUUUAGAACACUUUCAUCAUUCAACACCACCAGCUGAGCUCAACAACGCAAGAAACUAAACAUCCCAAAAGAAAGAAGAAACCAAUGAAUAUAUACUGCUGUAGUAAUAAAUGAGUCGCUUUCACUCGUUCCGUCUCGUAUUUCUAGUUGAUAAAAACCAAACGUUUGUUGAAGAGAAGCUGGAGCAGGAGACGGUGAUGAAGUGGAAUCUAUGGACAAGGUGCUACACGUGUUUCCCCCCCAGCUGUACAGACAUCAGGUGCAUUAGAACAAACCUUAAACCAUGUCUUAAAUGUUCAUCUCUGUCUGUGAGUUGUUGGAAGCGGUGUAUGAACUGUACACUGUUGGACUGACGGAAUGAAUGUAACCCAGAGGAGAAGAUAUUGUUAAUUACUAUUUAUCUUUUGUACUAAAGUGAAUGUAUUGUUAAGCAGGGCCAUGUUUCUCAAAAGCAUAUGAGGAAUGUUCUGGCUGGGAUUAUCCCAGUUUGGCUAUAGAUGUGUGCCAAAUGUAGAAUCAGCUGCUCUGAAUAAAGAUAAAGAUGCUUUUGAGAAAUCGUGAUGCUCUUUUUACGAGGCAGUGAACACAGCAUCUGCUUUUUCUUUAAAUGUACGCACACUUUCUGGAAGUAUGACUUUAGAGUCAGUCUGUGCUAUGUCCUAACUUAAACUGAUUUUAGAUCUGAAAUCCAAAGUGUCUCAACUUUUCGGGUGUGAAAUCCACGAGGUUAGAGGCCUUGAUUUUCUGGUUUUUUUCCAGUUUGCUGCACAGUGAUGGAGAUGAAACAGGAUGUGCUGCAGUAAGUGCCAUUAAACAUGCAGUCUGAAUCCAUAUGCACAUGAUUCUACCCAAGUUAGCAUUUAAUCUAUCAUUUUGAGUCAUUGUUAGACUUGAUAAAUAUUAGACUUAAGUUUAGUACUAGGUUGGACUGUUGCUGCCUGACUGAGGUGGUGCCAUGUCAGAUAAAUGUUUGGCUGAAGUUUCUCCACUAGUUGUAUUAACCUCUGAAUGACAUUGAAUUCAUUACUCAGUCAGAAAAAAUACUAAACAUUGUUUAUACGAUCUAGAACUAAAGUUAAGUCAUUACAGUUACAUGACUGUCGAAGACUGCAAGUGCAACAAAGCAACUUAAUGUACUUAUUGUAUUGUAAUAUGAAUAAGUGGGUAGCACUUAAUUUACCUGUGUUUGUGUUCCUAUUGAGAAUAUAGUAUGCUAAGCAUUUUGGCUGAAAUCCCUAUACAGCCAUAUUUAUUCUAUUGAAUACUAUGUUUCCCACCCUUGCACCGUUCAUUUUCAGAGAGCGAGUCUGGUGACGAUGCAGCACUGUGCUGGAGUUCCUUUGGAUAUCCGUUAGAUUUUGAGCCUUGCAUGUGUUGGAUUCAUCCGACUUUUGUCUGAUGCUCCACCUAAGAUCUAUCGUUUUAAAUGGUGUCAGUAAAGAGAUUACCUAUAGUUAUUUAAGUGGUGGCAAGUCCUCAGUUGAAUCCUAACGUCCAUAGAAACUUUUAGAUUUCCCAAAACACGGUCCGGUAAAAAGGUAGCACUCCAGAGGUCAAUAACAACAAGCUCUGGUGAAAGAUUCAUAGCAGUGGCAGAGCACCCAACUGAAGUUCAGUGCAGGAGAAGUGCACCUCUUAUAAAUUCAUAGAAAUGUCUCAAACCACUGCAGUACAAUCCACUUGCCCACUGUCUAAUGUAUUACAUGGCUUUCACAAGACUCAGCCAUCCAGACUGGUAAACAAAAGAACCUGCAGCAUGAACAUAUUUUCUUGUUUCUGGGAGCAAGGCUUUGUUUGAUGAUCUCAUCGCAGUCAUCCAUCAUCGGUGGAACAUACCUGCUUUGCUGUCUUGAUGCCUGUAGAUUAAAACAAAUAUAUUUUUUACAAAGUAAUUAUUAAAUAGAGUUAUGAAUUUUACUCCACUGCCUAAGCUGUGUAUUAGAUGUGGCUCCCUCAGUGGUGUGAUUUAGGAUGCAUUGCUUGAUACUGGAAGGGGAUCUUGCCCUGUUGGGAAGCUGUGGUCUUGUUAACACCUGCGCACCAUGUGAUUGACUUGUACACUGAGACAUUGGCCGUUGUCAUGCUUUUACUUUAAAUGUGUACAAACAAGUAACGUGAAGAGAUGCCCACUGCAAGAGACAUUUUCAGGCAAUGCGUGGCUUAAUAAUAAAAAUAAAAAUAAUUAGAUCUUCUGAAUUAAAACACUGAAAUGAGUGCAAGCAGUCAACUGUGAACAUCACUAAAAUCAGAAAUGAUGUAAAGUCCACAUCUAAACAAUGAACUGCAGUACUUGGUGCUGAGGGGAAAUAACCUCAGAUAUAAUGGAAUCAUAUUACAAUAUGGUUGUUAUUAUAUUCCAGAUGCUAUUCUUUGAAAUGAUUAAAUCUGUGUAGCAUUUUACAUCUUGUGCUGUACUGAACGGCUAUUUUUUAUUUUAUUUAAUAGAAACAUUUUUUUAAUUUAUUUUUUACUGUAACUUUUCUCUGAUUGUAAAUGCUACUGUCAUCUGGUAUUAAAACAUGAGAAGAGAGGUUUGGUUGUUGGUAA